UUACGGCCAUAUUACGUCGAAACACGGGUUCUCGUACGAUCAACGACAUUAAACAAAGUUGAGCCGGGUCAGUACCUACAUGAGUGACCGCUUGGAAAUGCCAGAUGAUGU